AACGUAGGACGCAAGCGUUAUCCGGAGUUACUGGGCGUAAAGGGCGUGUAGGCGGCUGUUCAAGUUCGUCGUGAAAGACCCCGGCUCAACCGGGGGUGGUCGAGGGAGACUGAACAGCUGGAGGACGGUAGAGGGACAGGGAAUUCCGGGUGUAGUGGUGAAAUGCGGAGAGAUCCGGAGGAACACCAGUGGCGAAGGCGCUGUCCUGAGCCGACCCUGACGCUGAGACGCGACAGCAUGGGGGGCGAACGGG
rnacentral:rRNA from 1 species